GGGGAUGAUCGGUUUCGACAUCGCCUGCGUGCCGACGGGAAGCGGGCCGAGGAUCCACGGUCAUCUCGUCAACGAUCCGUGGAAAACAACAAGUGCCAAUUCCAAGCGCACUGACUUCGCUCUCGCUGCGUAAGCAGUAGAGCCACAUGAAGUCCGUCGGCCGGGUGAUCGUUCCCUAUCCCGUGUCCGGCGUCAUCCAGGGGACUCGCUGCGUGAUUCCGUCCGGAGGUCACGCGGGACUUGCAUCCGGGCUGGGCUCGUCGUCCUAGAAGCCAGUAGCAAAGGGCGGAGUCGAGCAGAACGCCUCAUCUGGCUACGCCCGUAGAAGACGUCGAAUCACAGCGAUGGACGGGGGUUCAAUUCCCCCCAUCUCCACCA
rnacentral:tmRNA from 5 species